CCGCACGGGUGAGUAACACGUAUCCAACCUGCCGUCUACUCUUGGACAGCCUUCUGAAAGGAAGAUUAAUACAAGAUGGCAUCAUGAGUUCACAUGUUCACAUGAUUAAAGGUAUUCCGGUAGACGAUGGGGAUGCGUUCCAUUAGAUAGUAGGCGGGGUAACGGCCCACCUAGUCUUCGAUGGAUAGGGGUUCUAAGAGGAAGGUCCCCCACAUUGGAACUGAGACACGGUCCAA
rnacentral:rRNA from 1 species